AGAAAGGCUUUGCUAAAAGCCACACUUCCCUGAAAGAACAUGUUAU
rfam:Cricetulus griseus cell line CHO-K1, whole genome shotgun sequence.